CCCUUAGAUGUUCUGGGCUGCACACGUGCUACACUGGCAGGUUCAGCGAGCUUCAUGCCCUGAUCUGAAAGGAAUGUGAAAUCUUUUCAAAACCUGCCGUGCUUGGGAUAGAUGUUUGCAAUUAUUCAUCUUCAACGAGGAUUGCCUUGUAAGCGCACGUCAUCAGCGUGCAUUGAAUACGACCCUGUAUUCUGUACACACCGCCCGUCGCUCCUACCGAUUGAAGUUUUCGGUGAGUUGACAGGAGGAUUUUUUUGAAACUGGUUCGCCAGUGGAUUUUAGAUCCAAAUGCCAACGAAUCGAUGGCUUUAGAGGAAGGAGAAGUCGUAACA
rnacentral:rRNA from 1 species